rnacentral:rRNA from 1 species
AUUGAACGCUGGCGGCAUGCUUUACACAUGCAAGUCGAACGGUAACAGGGUGCUUGCACCGCUGACGAGUGGCGAACGGGUGAGUAAUACAUCGGAAUGUACCCAGUAAUGGGGGAUAACGCUUCGAAAGGAGUGCUAAUACCGCAUACGCCCUGAGGGGGAAAGUGGGGGACCGCAAGGCCUCACGUUCUUGGAGCAGCCGAUGGCUGAUUAGCUAGUUGGUGAGGUAAAGGAUCACCAAGGCGACGAUCAGUAGCGGGUCUUAGAGGACGAUACGCGAAACCGGAACCGAGACACGGUCACGAGUCGUACGGGAGGCAGCGGUGGGGAAUAUUGGACAAGGGGCGCAGGCCGUUUCAAGCAAUGCCGCGUGCGUGAAGAAGGCCUUCGGGUUGUAAGGCGAUUUUGUCUGGGGGCAAAUCCUGGCCUCUAAUACAGGUGUGGGAUGAGAGUACCUGUGAGUUUUGACGUUACCAACAGAAUAUGCACCGGCUAACUUCGU